rnacentral:rRNA from 1 species
CCUACGGGAGGCAGCAGUAGGGAAUAUUGCUCAAUGGGGGAAACCCUGAAGCAGCCAAGCCGCGUGGAGGAUGAAGGUUUUAGGGUUGUAAACUCCUUUUGUUAGAGAAGAUUAUGACGGUAUCUAUCGAAUAAGCACCGGCUAACACCGUGCCAGCAGCCGCGGUUAUACGGAGGGUGCACGCGUUACUCGGAAUCACUGGGCGUAAGGAGUACGGAGGCGGGGGAAUAAGUCAGAUGUGAAAUCCCGGGGCUCAACCUCGGAAUUGCCUCUGAAACUGGUAUUCUAGAGUAUGGGAGAGGUAGGUGGAAUUCUUGGUGUAGCGGUGAAAUCCGUAGAGAUCAAGAGGAAUACUGAUUGCGAAGGCGACCUGCUAGAACAUAACUGACGCUGAUGCGCGAAAGCGUGGGGAGCAAACAGGAUUAGAUACCCCUGUAGUC